CCUACGGGUGGCAGCAGUAGGGAAUAUUGGACAAUGGAGGCAACUCUGAUCCAGCCAUCCCGCGUGAAGGAUUAAGGUCCUAUGGAUUGUAAACUUCUUUUCUCUGGGAAUAAAAAGUGGGAUUCACUCCUGCCUUGAAGGUACCAGAGGAAUAAGCACCGGCUAACUCCGUGCCAGCAGCCGCGGUAAUACGGAGGGUGCAAGCGUUAUCCGGAUUCACUGGGUUUAAAGGGAGCGUAGGUGGCUUUGUAAGUCAGUGGUGAAAUGCCGCAGCUUAACUGCGGAACUGCCAUUGAUACUGCUUAGCUUGAAUCACGUCGAGGUGGAUGGAAUAUUACAUGUAGCGGUGAAAUGCUUAGAUAUGUAAUAGAACACCGAUUGCGAAGGCAGUUCACUAGGCGUGUAUUGACACUGAGGCUCGAAAGCGUGGGGAUCAAACAGGAUUAGAUACCCCUGUAGUC
rnacentral:rRNA from 1 species